rnacentral:rRNA from 1 species
UCGAGAAUCUUCGGCAAUGGGCGCAAGCCUGACCGAGCGACGCCGCGUGGAGGACGAAGGCCUUCGGGUUGUAAACUCCUGUCGAGGGGGAGGAAGGCGCAAGCUUGACCGAUCCCUGGAGGAAGCACGGGCUAAGUUCGUGCCAGCAGCCGCGGUAAGACGAACCGUGCGAACGUUAUUCGGAAUCACUGGGCUUAAAGCGCGUGUAGGCGGAUGGGAACGUCGGCCUCUGAAAUCCCCCGGCUCAACCGGGGAAGUGGAGCCGAAACGACCCGUCUGGAGGAACGUAGGGGGACCUGGAACUUCCGGUGGAGCGGUGAAAUGCGUUGAGAUCGGAAGGAACGCCCGUGGCGAAAGCGAGGUCCUGGACGUUUGCUGACGCUGAGACGCGAAAGCCAGGGGAGCGAACG